rnacentral:miRNA from 1 species
UCACUUGGACACUCUUCUUGGC